rnacentral:lncRNA from 1 species
AAAAAUAGAAACUUUUUUCUCCAAGAGUAAUAAUAUACUACAACUUUGACCAUAUCAUCACUAUGGAUUUGACUACUGACACUUAGUGGUUGUGCUUAAAAGUCCAGCAAUCUCUUGGAUGUAACAAAUCCAUCAAUAAAUUGUAAGAAACUAUUUGAAAGAACCAAAUUCAAAGUUCAAACACACAUCACCAUGAGCUUUUUGUAUUUGUAACAAAUUACCACAUGAAAUCUAAUGGAAGUCGAUAUAUAGUACUAAAAGUCAAACUUCUGAUGAACGUUUUUUUUUGUUCCUUAAAACUUCCUUCCUGCAUCAAUCAAAAUCAUAUCAGCAACAAAAACCUACCACAUUAUAGCAUUAUACUUCCGUUCUUUUUCUUAUUACAACAUACCUUUAAAAAUCUAGUCAAUUAUAGCAAAGAAAACUAUUUUGUGUUUGUAUGACAUCGUUAUAUUUGGAUAGGUUAAUCGUUUAUAAAAUACAAACAUGUAUCAAGAAGAAAACCGCCACAUUAUGUAGCAUUAUAAUUUUAAAUUUUAUGUUAUCACGACAUUAUAUUUUAAAGAAUCGAUCCAAUUAUAUUUAUGGCAAUGAAAUGAAAAGUGGUUUGUGUUUGUAUGACAUCGGUAUAGUUUGUUAGGUUUAUAAAAUACAAAGAUGAAUGAAGUAAGUUGGUACUAACCAUACUAUUAUUAGAGAUCGAAAUGAUGAAUGGAAGUGAACCCUAGAUGUUGAUAUUAGUUAUUAGUUACUUAGGUAGAGAAGCUCUGAAAAUCGAAGUUGAAAGAGAUUCGUUUAGGAAUAGAACCUGAAAGUGGAUAAAAUCGAAAUUAGAAGGAGAGUUUUUGGUGGACGAUGUUGUUAUCACGUCUUCACAUGGCGACAUCCCACAAAUCAUUACCGAUGUAGAACAAAUAAAUAGUAAAUAGUAAAUAGUAAAUAAAUCAGAUUCAGAUACGAAUGAAAAACACAGAAAAUGAUGAGCGGCUUUGUGAAGAAAAUAUUGGACGUUGCCGGCGAUGCAAUAUGAUCCCCAACGGCAGAAUCGCCUCCAUCUAUCCCUCAACUCUCAAAUCCCCAAACACACACAAAUAAAGAACAAACAUUUUUAUAGCGUAUCAACACAAUGAAGUGAAUGAACUAUUACUGAUUUGUUUUUC